rnacentral:rRNA from 1 species
UCGAACGGAACUUUUUUAAAGAUUUCUUCGGAAUGAAUUUGAUUAAGUUUAGUGGCGGACGGGUGAGUAACGCGUGAGUAACCUGCCUCUAAGAGGGGAAUAACAUUCUGAAAAGAAUGCUAAUACCGCAUAACAUAUAUUUAUCACAUGGUAGAUAUAUCAAAGAUUUAUCGCUUAGAGAUGGACUCGCGUCCGAUUAGUUAGUUGGUGAGGUAACGGCUCACCAAGACUGCGAUCGGUAGCCGGACUGAGAGGUUGAACGGCCACAUUGGGACUGAGACACGGCCCAGACUCCUACGGGAGGCAGCAGUGGGGGAUAUUGCGCAAUGGGGGAAACCCUGACGCAGCAACGCCGCGUGAAGGAUGAAGGUCUUCGGAUUGUAAACUUCUUUUAUUAAGGACGAAGAAAGUGACGGUACUUAAUGAAUAAGCUCCGGCUAACUACGUGCCAGCAGCCGCGGUAAUACGUAGGGAGCAAGCGUUGUCCGGAUUUACUGGGUGUAAAGGGUGCGUAGGCGGCUUUGCAAGUCAGAUGUGAAAUCUAUGGGCUCAACCCAUAGCCUGCAUUUGAAACUGCAGAGCUUGAGUGAAGUAGAGGCAGGCGGAAUUCCCCGUGUAGCGGUGAAAUGCGUAGAGAUGGGGAGGAACACCAGUGGCGAAGGCGGCCUGCUGGGCUUUAA